CAUAGAGGAAGUUAGUAUCAUAUAAUUUGGUCACUUGGGUUAAUAGUCUCAAUACCAAGGUCUGGAAAAAAGCAUUAGGAGAUAGAACGUCUACUAUAAACACAGUAGAGGUAUCUUAAGAAAAGAAAUAUGUAGGGGCAGAGGAAGAGAAGACUAGAAAUAAUUUUACUGCAUAAAAUGUAGAAGAAAGAUCCCAAUGUCUUUUCUAAAAUAAUAGGCUCUCUAUAAAGCAUAUGCAGGGUGAAUUUUGCUUAAUAUUCUACAGAUUUCUUCUAUGCAAAAGCUUAGAGCAAAGUAUUCAACAUCAGUGAGCUUUGUCUAUUAAUGUGAGUCAUAACAUGGGAGUAGGCACGAAGACAAUCCAUAAGGUGACCCUCUAUGCUUCACAGCUUGAUUUUUAUUAGUACUUUGGUCUGAUGAUAGACUGGAGUGAAGACAAUUUAAUGUGGCUUCUGCCUCUUGUGGAUAAGGUUAGUAAAGAAUAGUAUAUUCUUGCUAAUAGAGAGUUCCUAAAACUUCUCUUAUUUUCCUCCAGUAGUCAAAAGUGCUGUAUAAUGGCAGUCUAAUUUCAAUUUUUCACAGUGCAUUUAUGGAGUUCAACUUUCUUCACAUUCCUUUUCAUGCUAAUCUUUUACCAUGAACCAACAAGUAUGGGACCUUUCAUAAAACAAGGUCAUAUUUUAUGGCUACUUAACUUGGGCUGAACUUUAUAAAAGAAAUAAUGACCUUGAAAACCAGUACAACAUUUUUGCACAAAGGCCACUGUCUCUGUCAUUAAUCAUAAUAGAUCACUGCCUAUGGCUAUUGUUGGCUUUUCCAAGUGAAUUAGUAAAAGAUCUAAGAAAAAAGAAAAAUGUUUAUUACAAAUCAUUCUAUUACACACAGAAAGGUCAAAAGCAGUUGUGAGCAGACCAAAUGUGAGCCUUAGUGUAUCUCUCUUUCUAUCUAGGCAUCAAUCAAUUAACAAGCUUUGGUUAAGGGCUUACUAUGUGCUAGGCACUGGGAAUGCAAACACAAAGGAUGAAACAAUCCCAAUUCUCAAGGAAUUUGCUUGUCCAUCCAUCUCUAAUUUCCCUUUACACAUCAGGAAUAAUAAAGUGGAGGAAUUCCAUGGGAACUGGAACAACCUCCAGGAAUUGAUCCAGAGUGAAAGGAGCAGAACCAGGAGAACAUUGCAUACAGAUACUGAUACACUGUGGUACAAUCAAAUGUAAUGGACUUCUCCAUUAGUGGCAAUGCAGUGAUCCUGAACAACUUGGAGGAAUCUAUGAGAAAAAACACUAUCCUCAUUCAGAGGCAAAACUGUGGGAGUAGAAACACAGAAGAAAAACAACUGCUUGAAUACAUGAGUCAAGGGGAUAUGAUUGGGGAUGUAGACUCUAAAUGAACUUCCCAAUGCAAACACCAACAACAUGGAAAUAGGUUCUGAUGAAGGACACAUGUAAUACCCAAUGAAAUUGUGCAUUGACUAUGGGAUGGGUUAGG
rnacentral:lncRNA from 1 species